UUACGGUCAUAUAGCGUUGAAACACCAGUCUCCGUAUGAUUACUGAAGUUAAGCACUGUUGAGACUGAUCAGUAACUAGAAGGGUGACCGCUUGGGAAUACCAGGUGUUGUAU